rnacentral:lncRNA from 1 species
CUCCAAAAAGUUAUGAGUAGUAUUAUAUGCAAUUCACAGGCUGGAUUUAUACGAGGAAGAAGAGUAGCAGACAAUGUGAUAUUAGCCCAUGAGCUAAUAAAACAGUAUCCCAGAUCACAUAUCUCUCCCAGAUGUAUGACCAAGAUUGAUCUUCAAAAAGCUUAUGAUUCAGUGGAAUGGUGCAGUUUACAUCAGAUUAUGGA